GGGUCAGUAGGUUGGUCAUGCCACUGGUAUGUACUGGUCUCACUGAUUCCUCCUUCCUGAUGAGCUGUAAUGCCAUUAAUUUGGUGUUGCGGAGAAUCUGGACUGUUACUUUGAAAAAAUUAGAGUGUUUAAAGCAAGCUAACGCUUGAAUACAUUAGCAUGGAAUGAUGAAAUAGGACGUUCGAUCCUAUUUUGUUGGUUUCUAGGUUUGACGUA
rnacentral:rRNA from 1 species